rnacentral:tRNA from 2 species
GUCGGAGUGGCGGAAUUGGCAGACGCGCUAGACUAAGGAUCUAGUGCCCGUUAAGGGUGUGGGGGUUCAAGUCCCCCCUCCGACACGA